rnacentral:rRNA from 1 species
UACGUAGGGUGCAAGCGUUAAUCGGAAUUACUGGGCGUAAAGCGUGCGCAGGCGGUUUGGAAAGAAAGAUGUGAAAUCCCAGAGCUUAACUUUGGAACUGCAUUUUUAACUGCCAAGCUAGAGUAUGUCAGAGGGGGGUAGAAUUCCACGUGUAGCAGUGAAAUGCGUAGAGAUGUGGAGGAAUACCGAUGGCGAAGGCAGCCCCCUGGGCCGGCCCUGACACUGAGACGCGAAGGCGUGGGGAGCGAACGGG